rnacentral:rRNA from 1 species
GAAUCUGUCCGUUGGUCGGGCUUCACUGUCCGCACUGGCGUGGUGGGUUCUUACCUUCUGAAUAACUAGCAUGCCAUUUACUUGGUGCGCUAGGGAAGCAGGACUAUUACCUUGAAAAAAUUAGAGUGCUCAAAGCAGGCUAGCGCCUGAAUACAUUAGCAUGGAAUAAUAAAAUAGGACGGCAUGGUUCUAUUUUGUUGGUUUCUAGGAUCACCGUA